AGAAAGUGGCCUUGCAGUCUGGGAGUUGUCAUAACUAUCAAAGCUAUACAGGCUGCCAGUGAUGCAUUAAAAUGUGAGUGGAUGGAUGGGGAAGAGGCAGAGUUGUGAAAUUCCAUCAAAGAGAGGGCGCAAUGCUUCAAUUUCUGGUGCAGGUCUGCAGUGGCCACCAGGACUUGUUAACCACAACUGUGCACGCUGGGAGGCAGCAGUUCGUGAGGGACGUAAGGCUUCAUGGUAAGACCUGUGAGAUGACCUAUGAGAUGGAAGAGAGACACAUUGACAGCAUGGUGUGCACACUGGUUACCAAAUGGGAUAGCUUUCCUGUGCCUGGGGGGGCCUCCUGUAGUCUCCUAAGCUGUGAGGUGUUGGUGCUGUCCCUUUUCAUAAGGAUGGACCUCAGGAAAUGGGUUGGAAGAUGGAGAGAGAGAUUGGUGCUGCAGGGUUUCCGCUGAAUGGGGUCUACUUUAGGACAAAUGUGUGCUGUGCCAUGCACAGAUCCCUAAGGGUGAGGCUGGGGAUGUGCACCCGGCCGGGGCAGGGCUGGUGGGAGGCAGCUCGUGCCCCUCUGGGGGUUCUGGGGGUACCUCCUUUUAGCUCCGGCCUCAGUCCUGGGCUGCACCCAUGGUGGCCAGAAAUACCCGCCUCGUCCUGCUCUGCUUGUGUCAUACGCGCUGUACCCUUUCUUCCUCCUUUGUCUCCUCUAUAAGAGCAGCUGAAAGAACCAGGGGUGAGAAGGAUCAGUGGUCACAAUUAACAUUAAAGGUUCCUACACUGCAUCCAGCAGUAGCAUCUCAUCCUACAGAGAACUUAAAAUCAGGAGAUUGAGCAAUUGUAUAGAAAAGCUAUCUAGCAAGAAAACAAC
rnacentral:lncRNA from 1 species